AGGGAAUGGCUUCCCAUGGGAAAAGGAGAGAUUCGGGUGGGAUAUCGGGAAGGAAUUCCCGGCUGUGAGGGUGGGGAGGGAAUGGGAUGGAAUUCCCAGAGGAGCUGUGGCUGCCCCUGGAUCCCUGGAAGUGUCCAAGGCCAGGCUGGAGCACGCUGGGACAGUGGGAGGCAUCCCAGGGUGGGAGAGGAUGGAAUUUAAGGUCCUUCCAACCCAAACCAUUCCAGGAUCCCACUGUUCCUUUCCUGGACCAAUCCCAGCCCUACCCCAAGAGCAGGAACAGCUCCCAGCUUUUGUGUCCCAGCAGGAAUUGGCCUGUCAGGAAUGAGGCUCAACCCUGCCAAACCCCAAACUGGCUGAAAAUAAACCCAAAACUCAGCCCUGGCUCGGUGUUCGUCCUCCUGUCGCAGCCUUGGGGGGUGUUCGGUGCACCUGAGCUGCGACACCAAGGUGGCACCGCCACACGAGUGUCACCUUCGUGGCACUGACGUGGUCGUGGCACUGCCACGUUCCUGGCACCGCCACACGAGUGUCACCUUCGUGGCACUGACGUGGUUGUGGCACUGCCACGUUCCUGGCACCGCCACACGAGUGUCACCUUCGUGGCACCAACACCUUCGUGGCACUGACGUGGUUGUGGCACUGCCACGUUCCUGGCACUGGCCCUGGCACUGCCACACCUGUGGCACGUUUGUGACACUGCUGCGUUUGUGGCGUUGCCACACUCAGGGCACUGCCACGCUCGUGCCCUCUGCCACCCCACAGCCACCACACCGCCACCAACCCCAUCCCAAACGCCACCCCUGGCCCUGUCCCGUCCCCUCCCUGUCCCAUUCCCAUCCCUGUUCCCAUUCCAUCCCCAUCCCUGUUCCCAUCCCCAUCCCUGUCCCAUUCCCAUCCCUCUCCCCGUCCCUGUCCCCAUCCCAUCCCUGCCCCUGUCCCCAUCCCAUCCCAUUCCCAUCCCCGUCCCCAUCCCAUCCCAUCAAUCCCAUCCCAUCCCAUCCUUGUCCCCAUCCCCAUCCCUGUCCCAUCCCUGUCCCAUUCCCGUUCCCAUUCCCAUCCCCAUCCCAUCCCAUCCUUGUCCCAUCCCAUCCCACUGAUCCCAUCCCAUCCCCAUCCCUGCCCCCGUCCCCAUCCCUGUCCCAUUCCCAUCCCAUCCUUGUCCCCAUCCCACCCCACUGAUCCCAUCCCAUUCCCAUCCCAUCCCAUCCCAUUCCCAUCCCAUCCCAUCUCAUCCCAUCCCAUCAAUCCCAUCCCAUCCCAUCCCAUCCCAUCCCAUCCCAUCCCCAUCCCCAUCCCCAUCCCACCGAUCCCAUCCCCAUUCCAUCCCACUGAUCCCAUCCCAUCCCAUCCCAUCCCAUCCCAUUCCCAUUCCCAUUCCCAUUCCCAUUCCCAUUCCCAUCCCCAUCCCCAUCCCAUCCCCGUCCCCCUCCCGUCCCCCCGGCAGCCACUGGCUCUUUCCGGUGUCCAUCAGCUCCAGGUCCCGCCUCCUUAGGAGGGAUUUCGGGGCUUUCCAUGGCGACAGCUCCAAGGACAAACCCCCCCGAGUCCCCAUGGAGCCGGGGACAAGCGGGAAGGGGAGGAAUUGGGGCAAUUUGGGGGGAUUUUGGGGCGGCUGAGCGGAGCUGAAGGGAUUUUCUCCCUCCCGCCUUUUGCAGAACAAAAAAAAAAACCAAACCCCCCCCCCCCCCCCAAAAAAAAAAAAAAAUCGGGAUUUGAACCAUCCUGCUCCCACCGCCUCGGGCAUCGCCUGCUCUGCUUUUCCAUCGGGAAUUCUGCGGGAAUUCCAAGCUUUUCUUCCCAGCCCGACCCC
ensembl:lncRNA